rnacentral:lncRNA from 1 species
GCGCGGCGGCGCGGCUGGGUGAGCGGAGGCAGAGAGGAUCUUCGCACCCAGAGCCGAGGCUGUACGCGAGGGAGCGCAGCUCGGGGACGAGCCGCCUCCCCACCCCCGCGACGCCGUGCCCGGCUCCGGGGCGCAAGCGCUAUGGCAGGUGCGCAGUAGGGGGUGGCUUGGGUCAAAUUGUACUUCAGCUUCCAACUGCAAGCCAAGUAGAGCGGAGGGUAGUGGAAGAAAGGGAUUAAAUGUCUUUGUUGGGAGCUGGUGGAGGAAGAGGGUUGCCAGAGGAAUGCCUGGGACAAACGUCCUCCCCAGCACCGGGAGCUUGCCUUCCCGAGAGUCCCAGGGAGGGCUUUAGGGUUCAUCAACAAGGUGAAGCAAAGAGUUUCUCCAAAGAAGGUGCACAGUGGAUGAAGAAAACUAAUCUGGCAAUUUAUGAUGGAAUUCAAAGGCUUUGAAGAAACGCCAAGAUGAAAAUUGUUGCCCCUUUCUUUGUGAUGGAAGAAUGAAAAAAAAAAAAAAAACACAAAGUUGUUGCUCUUGUAGGAUUCUAGUUUUGAAGAUGUCAACGAAAAAGAAUGGAAGAGCUCUUAAGAUCUAAUGCAGAGGAUUUAACGACACUAAUCUAGUUUAGAUCUACAUGCAGUCAUUGUAGAAAUAAUUAUCAGGCACAAGUACAAUGGCAAAGUACGGCAAACUCGAAGUAUGACACUGUAGUAGCUCUUGAUUCCAGCAACAGUCAGUAACCAAGCUUUUCACAAAGCUACAUAUGAUUCUGAUUUUCUUUUCUUUUCUUUUCUUUUGAGACGGAGUCUUGCUGUGUCACCCAAGCUGGAGUGCAAUGGGACGAUCUCGGCUCACUGCAAACUCCGCCUCCUGGGCUCAAGUGAUUCUUCUGCCUCACUAGCUGAGAUUAGUGGCACCCACCACCACACCCGGCUAAUUUCUGUAUUUUUAGUAGAGACGGGGUUUCACCAUGUAGUCCAGGCUGGUCCCAAACUCCCUGACCUUAGGUAAUUCACCUGCCUCAGCCUCCCAAAGUGCUGGGAUUACAGACAUGAGCCACCAUGCCCAGCCAUAAUUCUAAUUUUCUACUAAUUUUUGUUGCAACAUAACUUCAGGUUUUUCCUUACGUCAUUUUAUUUAAAAUAUUGAGUUUCUAAUAUGUAAAUAUAAAUUUUAAUAUUCAAAUCUGGAGUAUUAAAAGAUACAUAUGCCCUUUCAGUCCAAGUAGGCAGUGUGUCUGCCAAUACAAUUCUCUUUAAGAUUUUGGGGACUUCAUAUAUAUCAAAUUAUAAUCCACUCCAAUAGAAAAAAAAGCCACACUCACAAACCUCUGAGACAAACACUUUCCGUCUUGGGCUGAGAGUAAGAAAGCUGAUGGAAAACACCCUUAUACACUUAGAAGUGCUUUUGUCUAGCUGAAAUGGUCUAGGUAAAAUGGCUUUAAAUCUUUGUACAGUCUUUACAAAAAAUCUAAAUAGCUGCACCCUGGAUUGUACCUUCCCCUUAAGGCAAUGCCUUAGUUGUUUCACCAUCUGGAGAGGCUGGAAGUGAAAAGCAGUUUUAUUUUUGAACCCAAAGUUCCCAGACUGUGUAUAUUUUCUCUAAAUUUUGCUUAAAAAUGAAAUUGUUCCUUUUAUAUCUCACCUCUCUACAUCUUAUUCCACAUAGGUUUUUUUUUUUUAAUCAGUUGGCAUUUUCAACAGUCUGUCUGGAAAUUUCCUUAACUGCAAAUACACCAGUUUGUUAGAUAUAUUUUCUAUUUUCUGCAUUUCAGCAUGCAACAGUGUUGCCAAACUUUCUGCCACUGCAUAACAGGGAUCCCUUUUUCUCCAGCCUUUCCUAACAGUUUCCUCCCUUCAAGCCUUCAAAGAUUGUAGAAAAAACUCUCAAGUGGCCUUACAAAAUAUUCAGGUACAUACACUGUCUAGAAUUCUCAGCAUCUAUAUUAGUUUGAUGUUACCAGUACUUGGAAGCUACAGCUAAGGACACCAUUCUCUCCAAACCCCUACCACUCCAACCACAGAAUGUAAAAGUAAAAGAUACUUUUGGAGGCUGAGGUGGGAGGAUCACGAGGUCGGGAGAUCGAGACCAUCCUGGCUAACACAGUGAAACCCUGUCUCUACUAAAAAUACAAAACAAAUUAGCCGGGCAUGGUGGCAGGCGCC